rnacentral:ribozyme from 1 species
UGCCCAGCAACUCCUAUCCCUACCUCUUAGUGGUACUGGCCGGGGUACGAGUAACCUUAGAGAAGA